rnacentral:lncRNA from 1 species
AUGAAUAUUCCUUCCAUCUCUAUUGUCAGCGUGCCAGAAGAACAGGAUGAUACAACUUGUAACCAAGAAGAACACGGUACUGCUGAUAAAACUCUCAGCCAGCCAUUGGUGCUUGUAAGCGAGGUGACCGACAUGUGUGCCGACAGUACUGCAAACCCAGAUGAAAAAAGCUCUACCUCCAGUAAAGAUGAUAAAAUUAUUGCUGAGAGUCUGUUUGAAAAUGCUAACCCAACAUCUUCUGGAGAAUUAAUGGAUCUAGAAAAUCAGCAUUUAAAUGAUAUAAAUGAACACGAUCUAUCAUCAAAUGAACACAUGCAAGGUCAGAUUGAUAUAAGUGAAGAUGGCGACAAAUGCGAGCCUCCUCUUGAUGAUUCUCAGGGAGAAACUAACUUUUCUACAGAGGCUGAAACUCAUAUAGUGGAUACUGAGCGUGCUGUAAAUUCUACUGAUCCACCUGAUGGACACGAGAGCAAAUUAGCUGACACCUUUUGUAGCAGCGACAUAGCCAACACGCAGCUCAGUACACUGGAUCCAUUCAACACCGAGCCAAGUGAUGAGAUAGGGACGCUGCGCUCUGAACCAGCUACCGUGUCCAGAAACAUGGACCUUUUGUUUUAUACAGACUUUGAUCGAGGUUCUCCAACAGAGGAUCUGGUUGGUGACCCUGUGGAGCCCAUGGAUCUGUUCUACCCUGACAAAGAAGAGCUCAUGUUUACAGAGCAACCUGACACUGAAGCGCAGACCUGGCCCUCUGUUUUGAGUGUCUCUGCUCUGCAGCCAGCACCACCUUCAGACAUUCUGCCAGAUGACCAACAAUUCGAUCCGCUGGGUGAAGACUUCAGGGAAGUGGACUUGAUACAGGAGCACGAUAAGGUGAUCACAAAGGCCACCCAAGAGACAAAGAAUGUAUUUGGAUCCCAGCAGCAUUGCUUGUUGCCUGGAGUGAAGCUAUGUAAGCCCUUAGGAGAUGCUGAUGUUCUAGCAGACAGGAGGGAUCCCAGUGAGGCUGAGCAACAGAAGCCAGUCUCUGCCAGGGAAAACACAGAGCCUGUGAGGAGCAGUGCAGGUUCCAGCAAACAAGGUGAAAGCCAUAUCCCACCAGUUCUCCGUCACAGAAAGGGGGCUCAUUGCCCUGAGUCAGUGGACAGUCAGAGAGCUGUAACUGCAAAAGCUGACGGCGAUGACUCUGAUUUUUGGUAAGAGCAUUUCCUUCCCUGAUUUAGUUGUUUGUAACACUCGAGCCUUUAACUGUGAUGUAGGUUCACCAUGUUGCUAGGUUUAUAACAGUAGCUGCUGACUUGAGGUAACUUCUAAUUAUGUUAUUGUGAGCAAACAGCACUUAAGUUAGAUUAAUACGUGGCACAGGAAGGACGGACGUCUUCAUUUCUCUGCAUCU